ACCGGAGUCCUCCGGCGUAGGCGCCCGGUCUCCAAAACUGUGGUGCGAGAGUUCAAGUCUCUCCUCCGGUGCCA
rnacentral:tRNA from 1 species